GCAAAUAGAAUGAUGCAAUUUAUCAAUUUGCUAAAACGAAACAUAAAAUUGACAAAAAAAAGGGAAAAAUAUUAAUAUAAAUCUGAACAAUGUGAAAUAUAAGGACACGCGGGAAUGAAAUUUAAAAAAAUGUACAAAGUUCAUGGCAAAAGAGUAAGAGCAUGGAAGAAGUUGAGUGAUAACAACACCAGAGAGUGCAUGGUUGUGAAAAACCCUCAUUGAUUUUUAUAUAUGCGUCCAAACUCUUAAUCUCGUUUAUUAUAGCAUCCGUGUGCAAAAACAUAGAGUAUUAGCUGCAAUUUAAUUGAAUGUGAAGACUAGGUAUCUUCGUAUGACAGUGAGUGUAAUGAUGAAGGCUAAUUAUUUUCAAGUAACAAGGAUUUUGCUCUACUGGAGAGGCUUUUCUGGAGACUCACUCAUUGGUAGUCAAUGAGAGUUAAGUUUUGGGUGCAUGUAUUUGGGUAAUCGUAGCGAUCAAGGUCUGGAUUCUAUUUGAUAGGCAAGGUUUGGCUUUGAUGAGCUUUGUUUGACUUCAAAUGCAGAGCAACGAGGUGAAGGGAAACAACGGCUAAUCAACGGCAAGUGAUGGUUAGUAAGAGGGAGUUGUCUUUGAGAGAGAGCACCGUUUGAGAAAGGGUUGUGAGUGUGAAUGUGUGUAUUACACACUUGAUGUACAAAAAAAAGUGUGAAGGUUGUUUUGAUUUGUGCAUGAAAUGAUGUCGUUUUAGUAGGGUAUGAAAUGGAGUCAUUUAACUUUUCAGUGUUUUAAGUUUUGUUUCCCUUUUAUUUUAUUUGUUUAGGUUAGUCAAACUUACUGUCAAACUCAAAUUCAAAAUGAAAAUCUAUUGUAAAUACAUGGUAGAAAAAAUUUACAUUGCUAAUGAGUUAAAAAUAUUUGACAGCCUCAAAAUUUAUAAUAACUACAUAUACUAUAUUUUCAUGAUAAAAGUAAAUUUUGUCACAUCUAUCAUCUAUCAUAUGUUUGUAAUACAAACCCUCUUGUCCAAAAACUAUCACAUGGGGAUUGUCGUUUAAGGUCAUCGUUCUUGUAGUGGAAGUGUUGAAUGUGAUAGCAAAUUGGCAAUGAAACUUUGAAGCUUCUUUUAUAUAUGAUUGUGUGUUGUUGCUUUCUUGUUUUAUUUAUUUUGAGCUAACAAGUCCCUUUAGUAUUAAAAUAAUAAUAAUAAUAUUUAAUAUUUAAUUAUAAGAGAAAUAAUGACAUAAGUGAUGAUGCAAUACUUAGACAUAAGCAAUGACAUAAGUGAUGAUGUAAGACAAGUUUGUAGAGAUAGAUAAGAAUUCUAGAAUUUAGUAAAGUAUUUAUGAAGGAUAAUCUCAACCAUUGAUCAAGAGUUAUGGUGGCAAAAUCCUAGCCAUCCAUUAGCCUUAAGAAAUCCUAUCAAUACCCCCUAGCCCCUUUCAUUUGCAAUCCAACCUAGGAAUUAAAACAUUUGUUUAGGAGAGAAUCAAAGCGAUUGGUAAGUUUACUCUUCUUAUUCUCCACAAGAUUUCCAAUCACUCUAUCUAGGGUUUAUAUUAGCAUGAUUUUAGAUUGUUACAGAUCAUAAUACAUGAUUUAAGGUGUGUUUAGGUUCUGUUUGGCAUUAUGAUUUAUUGUGGGUUUUAUUAAUCAACCCUUGGUGCAUUAAGCACACUGGACAAAUUCUAGACAAUAUGAGUAUCUCGAAUUCAAAUGUAUAUUUUCUGAACAAUUUUUCUUACGAACUUUAUAUUUCUAAAAACUAGGCAUGUAGGGCUUAUUGAUUAAAUUUUUUUUCAUAAGAUUUGACUUUGUUUUCAAUUUUAUAUGGAUUUUUGAAACUGAUACUAAUACACUGGAAAACUGUGAUUCCAGCAAGGUGAUUA
rnacentral:lncRNA from 1 species